GCGGCCUCCCCGCCGGAAGCGCGGCGUGUUGCAGCCGGACAGCGGUCCGGGCGGCUCCCGCCUCCCCGGCGGCGCGGAGUUCCUCCCUUUUCGCCUCCCGCCACCUUCGUUAUCUCCUCGCCCCCGCUCCCGCCGGGGGCGCGGUGCCCCUCCCGUCUCCGCCCCGCGGGGAGCCGCCCCAGCCUGGCUGCCCAGGGGGCAUCCGGCCUCCGCGGAGGCGGUGGGCGAAGGAGUAAAAGCGGGCCCCGAGAGUGACCGGGGGUUGGAGCCGGAGCCGCGGCCGCUGGGGGAAGAUAAACAGAAGAUGAUAGGGAGCAAUGAAUCCUCUACUGAAGGACCAGUGCCUACAUCCUACUUAACCUUCCUGGCUUAUUUACUGGGAGAAUGGACUGGUAUAGAACACACUGAAACUUAUCUGAGUUAUGGAGUCUACCUUUCAUGGGUGCUUUUUCCACUUGCAAUAGCUUUUAUACUUCCAAUAGCUAUCUUCUUCUUCUGCCUCAACACUUCCCUUCUCCUUCUUCAUAUUCAUAAAAGGAGGAAGAAUGGAUUUAAUGAAGGACAUUCUGGUGAUGUUUGGUAUGGUGCAAAAGAAAUGUUGGCUAACCUGUGGGAUGGACAUGGGAGAAUAUGGCACGGUUAUGAACUUCAUGGGGAUGAAAAUAUUCCAGAAGGACCAGCACUUAUUGUGUUUUAUCAUGGAGCUAGUCCUGUUGACUAUCUCUAUUUCAUGGCUAGACUUCUUAUACGAAGGAAGAGAUAUUGCCACGUAGUAGCGGAUCAUUUCGUCUUUAGAUUACCAGGUUUUAAAACGUUUAUUGAAGUACUUGGCAUUAUGCAUGGACCAAAAGAAGUAUGUGUCAGUGCUCUGAAGAAAGGCUAUCUGUUAGCUAUUUCUCCAGGUGGACUUCGGGAAGCACUCUUUAGUGAUGAAACAUAUCCUAUUAUGUGGGGUAAUCGAAAGGGCUUUGCCCAGGUGGCCAUUGAUGCAAAAGUGCCCAUCAUUCCUAUGUUUACACAAAAUGUUCGAGAAGGCAUUAGGACAUUAGGAGGAAUAAAAAUACUUAGGAAGCUGUAUGAACGUAUUAGAUUGCCAGUAGUUCCUAUGUAUGGCUGGUUUCCAGUCAAGCUUCGAACGUUUAUUGGAGAACCCAUUCCAUAUGAUCCAAAUAUAACUGCUGAGGAACUGACUGCAAAGACAAAAGCAGCACUCCAGGCUCUAAUAGCCAAACAUCAGAAAAUACCAGGAAAUAUACUGAGGGCUUUAAUGGAACGAUUUCAAACACGACAGAAAGAAGACUAAGGUCUUCUGAACAGUGUGCCAAGCAAGAGAUAACAGAGGAGACAUGAAGAAGGAAAACAUACAAACCUGUAGUAUCAACCUUUUUGUGACAAGAUGAGGAUGUGCUACCUCCAAUUCAAUCAGAUUUGAUAAUAAAUUACUGGGAACAGCUCCUAUUUUGCAACUGAGGAGAGUAAAAGACAUUUGGCUAUACAUCAGUAGGCUGCAUCAAGAGAAGGUGGAAGUGAUUCAUCCCAUUGUAAAUGCCCUGCUGCUGGGGUGGAGUGAAAUCAAUUUGAAGAGAUUCAGCAGGUGGUGGCAGCUCAUUGAAGAAAAUAAAUCAAAUGAAGAAAACAUGACUAUUCCCAGAUAUGAUGACAAGUGACCAUAUCAAAGUCCGAGAAUUUGCAUGUCAGCACAAAAGAUGAAGCUGGAGGCAAACGGUGACACAGGAUACCUAGCAGAGCACUUUGACCAGCCAGAGGAACUGAUCUGUGGGCAAGUUUCCUGCUGCUAUCAGGACGUUGGUAGGACACUCCUGAGGAUGCGAGACCUCUGGCCAAAUGCCACAUAGGCACAAGGUAACCUCAUAGCUUCUUUCCCACUCUGCGCUGGCAUGGAGGGCUGGAAUCAAAAUCGCUGUGAGAAGGUGACAGCGUUUGAAAUGAAGACUCAGAUGUAACAGAUGGCAAGCACAGCCCCAAGCAAAAGUAGAUUCCCAAAGGAAAGCACAAAAACAAAUACCAAACAGGCCUUUAAAGUAAAUGAACAAACAAACAAACAAAAAGAGAAAGCCUUAAGGGGAAAUUCUUGGAAAAGUUACAAAAUCAUCUGAGAGAAAAGAAAGAUGGGGAGGAACAAAUGUGCAAUAAGGAAAGUGUGCUUUGCAUAAUGCUGCCCACUCCAUCUGAAGGAGCCUCCAGAUGUUCCGUGUUACUCUCAUGUGACUGUGAGUUGUGAAAUAGCUGGUGUGCUGCAAAGUGAGAAAAUCAACGCUGUGUUCUAGGCAGCUUCUGAUAUCAAGGGAACAGCAGAACUACUUAUUUGGUAGAAUUUGCUUCAGAGUAUGUUUCAGAAUUAGCUCAUCACUCACAACAACACCUUUUACAAGUCGAUGUGAGUUGUCUCCUUGGGAAAAAGCAGCUGGCAGAUGAGGCAGUCAAAACCUAUUUUUCCAAAAGCAGCCUCUGAUCUGAACAUAGAGACACUGUGAGUAUUCAGUCUGAAAAACAAGGGCUGCAUUUUUCAAAACUGCUGAGCAUUGCUGGGUCCUAUCUGAGAGUGCUGGAACUGCAAGCCCUGACCACCCUCCAGAAUGAUGCCAGAGCAAGCUCCAGCUGAACCACUCAUUCCCCACAGACAUAAUUGCCAGUGACUUUUUGUUGCUGACUGCAGGUGGAAACAAGCAUCCCUGCUGUGCAUGUUGUAAGCCCAGAGACUCAAUGACAAUCUAAAUCAGAAAUAGAUGGAGAUGACCAACAGGAAAGGCAGAUGCUUCUGGCACCAGGCCUAUGCUCAGACAACUUUCACCUUAAUUUUAUUGAGACUUUUUUUUUUUUUUUUUUUUUUUUUUUUUU